rnacentral:lncRNA from 1 species
CUCUACAUUCCUUUAUCUCUCCAACACAUCUCUGGGCCACAAUUUCCAUUGUAAUAAAAAGGGUGAGUACUCACAAUCCUAUGGCAUGCCAAAUAUAUCCAAUGGUUCCAUGGUUCCAUAAGGUCACAAUGCCAGAAUAUUUAUUUUAAAACAUUCAUAAUAUUCAGUAUAAUAGGGCUCACAAUUAAGUAGAGCUAGCAUAUUAUAACACAGUUCGCAAUUCACAAUUCGCAGACAAUUCACAGUAGAGUAUGGUUCGCAAAUAAUAUAACUUUCAUGAAACAUAUAUUGCACACAUAAUCACAGUUCACAUAUCAUUCAUGUCAUAGCUCAUAUAAAUCAUAAUUCCCAUAUUUUUUUUAGCAUAGGGCAUGCAAUAGCUUAGCUUACAUACAAUACAACAUAAAAUCUCACAAUACACAGUUUGGCAAAUUAAUACAAUUUGUCAUAUUAAUACAAAUCACCAAAUUAACACAGUUCACUAUAAUAAUAUAAUUUGCCAAGUUAACAUGGUUCACAAUAUAACACAGUGCAUAAAUAUAAUUGGCUCACACUACAGUUAAGCUCGCACCUAGCAUUUCACAAUAAUAGAAUUUUGCACUAAUCAGAGCUUGCAUUACUAUAGAGCUCAUAAUUCAUGUACUCAUUCAUGCAUGGAUAGAUGUAAAUUUUUAUAUUAGUUCACGUUAUAAGAGUUCACAUUAAAUUUUUAUAUUAGUUCACAAGCAUUACAAAACCCAUAUACAUAUUUAUUAUAUAUAUAAUAAAACCCACGUAUAAAUAUUGUAUAUACAUAUACCUUUUUAGUACACCAACUCACCUUAAAUAUUAUGCUCCCACACACAUGCAAUAAUAAAAUGCACAAUUCACACACACUUAUCACGUCAAGUACAUGGCUUACAGCUACGGUCUGCCUAUUUUAUUCCUAUAACUACAUGCACAUUUUAAAUUCAUGCAUUUGGCUCAUUAAAAUCGCACAGCAUGUAUACCCAACAGUCAACAAAAUUGCAAUGGUUUACACCAGGAGAAAUCAAUGUUCACAUAUUAAUUAAGUAGGGGCUCGUAUAUGUUACCUUAACUUGAGUACUGGAGUUUAAAUGCAGUAUAUCGUACCACUCACCUUAGUUCUUGCUUCAACUUCCAUACUCAAGUAAGCUUUAAUUUGCCUUUAUUCAUGCUUGUAAAGUCUCCCAAAUGACUUGGCACUUUACAUACACAAGAAACACAAUACAAAGAUAUUAUUAACAACAACAUACACAAUCAAAUCAUUCCAAAAUCACAUAUCAAAUCCUCUUAACUUCAAUACCGAAAACAUAACUAGUUUUGCUGAAAUAGGUGUUUAACCACUCAAAUCUUGUUUCUAAGCUUAAAAUUCAACUUCAUACAUCCUAAAUAUCAUCCAAUUACAUAUCUAAACCAUAAAUUUUAUCCAAUUACACUGAUCUUAUUUUUCUGAAAAAAUCAAGCUUAUGUGAUCUUUUAAAAGGGGAAAACAUUCAAUUUGCUUAAAUUCAUUAAGGAUUUUUUAAAUUAAGAUCAAAUACCUUUUAAUUAGAUAAAAAUAAGUUAUAAAUCACUUUAAAACCAAAGCUUAUCCAAGAAAUACAAUAUCUACAAUUUUCAAGCCAAAAAUCAACUUAAAUUUAAGUGAUAUAUUGAGAUCUUGAUUAAAUCAAUCAAAAUAAUAGCUCACUUAGUUUAAUCAUAAAAAAUUAGAAUCUCACCUCAAUUUUGCAAAAUCUAUGAGCUAUGGAGCUAAUUCAAGCUUAAACGUAAGAAGAUCUCUUGAGGAUUUCAAGGAUGAAAACAUGAGUGUUCUUCAAAAUUGGAAAGAGAUUUUGUUCUUAGAGAGAUUAGGAAUAAAAAAGGAUGAACUAAUUUUGGAAGAAAACUUUGAUUUGGUAUUUGGAAAAUUUUUGAAGAAUAUAAAGAAUGAGAGGGAAUGAGACAGUGGAGGUUGUUAAAUAAGCACAAAAAUUUUAAAAAAUUGGGUCAUUAUCCAUUUAACCAGCUCCAGUUUCUUCCCUUUUUUAAAUAGGUUCUUGAUUUUUAUUAAAACUAAUUUCAAAAUUUUCAAAUCAAACCUCGUUUUUAAAAAUCUGUUUUAACCAAAUUAGUUCCCGAACACCUAAUUUAAUGUCUUAACCCAUAAUUUUUAAUUCUAAUUUUUUUAAUAUUUUAUUUAAUUAAUUUCAAAUUAUUUAAUUAUAUAAUCUAUUUACGAGCUUCGAUUCACUAACCCAAAUCCUACUUACUUUCUACUAACCCGAUUUUUAGGGUGUGACACUAGUGGUUAAGGAGGGUCGUAAGUUUCCUUGUGUCCUAAUUUUGAAUCACGUUGGAUUCAAAGUUGAAAUAUUUUUUUGUUUCUUCUUUGCUGUUCCGCCCAACUUGUCAAAAUUUUGGUAAAACUCAAGUUCUGAGUAUUCAGAUUGUGAUCAAAAUAGAAGGUGGUUCAAAGAUUUAUUUUGAUUUUUAUUUUUGAACUUUUUUAAAAUGAUCUCUAAAAUCUAUCCCUAUUUGUCGUCCCCCACUUUCCUCAUCAUUCUUCCACACCCUUUUCUUUUUUCACUUUUGUUGUUAAACAACAUUUUAUCUCUUGUCGUCCUCUCCCACUACUUUUUAAUUUUUUCAUAUUCUCAUUUUGGCAACUUCUUUUAUUUAUUGUUCUUCCUCCAUUUCGUCUCUUCAUAUUGUUUUUGUUGCCAUCCAAACCUUAUUUUUCCUGUGUUACUACAUCUUCUUGUAUUGUUGCUGGUCGUACGUGAAUAAGGUGUCUUGGUAUAGUAUCCAUAUUAUUCGUAAGUGUUGUUCGUUCUCCUCUUAAUGGUGUUGUUUUUCUCUCUUUCACGUGGAAGGUUUGCGAUCCUUUAGUUUGGCCGAUAAGUCUAUGGUCUGACCAUUUUUGUGGUUUUUUCAAGUGAGGAAUGUGUGCCACAUAACCCUCCUGCGAACUGAGUAUUUCGACAACAUCUUUCUCUAAGGGUAAGUAGUCGAAUGCCUUACUUUUAGGGGUUGUCUUGUGUUAGCAAUGCUAGGGCUGAAUGCCCUAAUACUUGGUCAAAUGCUCUAAGGGAGCAAGGGCUAAAUGCCCUAGACCGAUUGUGUAUGUGGUUGCUAUGUAAUGACCCGAUAGUCAAGGGUGUUGGAAAAUGAAGUUCGGUACUCUAUUUCUGUAAAACAAACCCGUAAAUAUUAAGUAAAUAUUUUUAUUUAUAUUUACGAGGUUAGUUUAGUGGUGAAUUAGAUUUUGGUUAAGUGAAAUUUAUGAAAUUAGGAAUUGUUAAUGUACUGGGACUAAAUCGCAUAUGAGUUAAAAUUUGAAUUAUAGAUUGGAAUAAAUUUAAGGGACUAAAGUAGCAAUUAUAUAUUUAUAUAUGUAUAGUGGGCGUCAUUAAUGGUGUGUAUUAUAUAUAUAUAUGAUAAUCUAAUAUAUAUUAUAUGUUAUAAUAAAUAAAAUGAAUUUAAUAUAUAUAGGUUAUAAAAUAAUAAUAGUUAUAAUAAUAAAAACAAAAGGAAAAAGAUGUUAACAUGCAAAAAUUAGAAAGAAAAGAAAAGAAAAGAAAACAAAGAAAAGAGAAGGAAGAACGCACAGCCUAGGAACUUAAGAGUUCAAGCUUAAAUUGGUUAGUGCAAUUUAGUCCCUUUUAUUGUAAUUUUUACGUUUUUGGAAUCUCGAUACUUAGGGCUAGCCGACUUGUGUUGCAAUUUUUAGUAUUGCUUAUAAUUUUAGAUGUUACUAUUGUUGAAUAGCUUAAUACUAGGGGUAAAUUGAUAGAUUUUUAAGUUAGAAAUGGAAAAGGGCUAAAUUGUAGAACAAAUUGUAAAUUUUGAGUAAUAGGGACUAAAUUAUGAAAAAAUUAAAAUUUAAGGGUAUAAUUGAAAAUAAGGAGCUAAAUUUAGCUUAGUGUGAAAUUAGUAAAAAAAAUAUAGAGUUAAAUGUGAAGGUUAAAAUUAAUCUCAGUUUAGGGACUAAAUUGAAAUUUAAGCAAAUAUAGUGUAAAAAUUGAAAAUUAAUGUGGAAUUGAAUUGUGUAAUAUUAAUGUAUUUUAAUUGUUUUACUCCGUAGCUAACGUCAUACUGGAAUCCUCGAGAAAGAAGGGGAAGGAUAAAAUCGACGUCGAAUAACUCGGAAUUCACGGUUUGUGUUUCUAUAAUCUGAACUAAGUUAUAAAUUAUUACAUUUUGAAUUAUUGCAUAUGGUAAGCAUUUGAGGUGAGUAUUUUGGUACUUUGAGAUUGAAUUGAAUUCAUAUUUGAUUGAAAUGGAUUGAUUUGGUGUAUUAUAAAUGUAUUGACUAUAUGAAUAUUGAAUUGAAUAUAUGUUUAUAUGUGUAUAUAUAUGAGAAUUGGACAUUGGAUGUAAUUGAAAGUGACAUGGAACCCUAUUAACUAUUUGGGCUCAGUCGGAUAUAGAUGGCAUGCCGUAGGAUUAGAAGAGUUUAGGGAUUUCUUCGACCUCGAGUCGAUAAGGCAUUGGAUGCUAAUUUGCUCUGGUUUAACUGGUGAGACACUAGGUGUCAAUUUAUAUAGUGUUGGGCGCAAUUAUUACUUCGAAUUUCUUCGAUGAGGCAUUGGGUGCCAAACUGGAGUGUUGGUUGGAUUUGUGUAUCCGUCCGAAUCCGAGUCGUGUUAAUAGGGGUAAAUAAAUUUUUUUAUAUAUUUGAUAUUGGGAUGAAAAAUAUGAUAAAUGAAUAUGAAAUGAUGAAAUGAAGUGUGAUUUGUGAUAUGAAAUCAAAUAUUUCUAUCAUGCUAUUACAUGAGAUGAGAUUAGCAAAUACUAUAUAAAAUGCCUUUGGUAUGUGAUUGAACAUCUGAAAAUUGUAUUAGGUGUGAAUAAGGAAUGAGAAAAAUAAAAAAUAUAUAUUAUAGAAUUGAAACACAUGUACAUAGCUUUACUUGAUGCAUUUUUAUAUUUUAAUUACUUUUGUCAAGUUUAUAUUGUUCGGAUUAUGGAAAUACCACUAGUUAUACUCAACGCACAGUUUUGUUUUUCUGUGCGCAGGUUAGGUACAUUUCAGCUUACAAUCAACUCAGCAUCCAACCUCAAUCCUGAACUCAAGUGUGGUGAUAUUUCAUUUUGUAAUUGCAUGUACCUAGGAAGUCCUUGGUUGAUAAUUUUUUUUUUGUUAAUGUGGUGCUAUUUUAGGUUUCAAAUACCACUAGUUACACUCAGCGCACAGUUUUGUUUUUCUGUGCACAGGUUAGGUACAUUUCAGCUUACAAUCA